rnacentral:rRNA from 1 species
UAAGAGCCUCCCAAGGCGACGAUCGGUAGCUGGUCUGAGAGGACGAUCAGCCACACUGGGAUUGAGAACGGCCCAGACUCCUACGGGGGGCAGCAGUGAGGAAUUUUCCGCAAUGGAGGCAACUCUGACGGAGCAACGCCGCGUGCAGGAGGACGCUUUUCGGAGUGUAAACUGCUUUUCUGUGGGAAGAGCAAGGACGGUACCACAGGAAGAAGCCCCGGCUAACUACGUGCCAGCAGCCGCGGUAAUACGUAGGGGGCGAGCGUUAUCCGGAUUUACUGGGCGUAAAGCGCGUUAAGGCGGUUGGCAAAGUUGGUGGUGAAAUUUCAGGGCUCAACCCUGAAACUGCCUCCAAUACUGGUCGACUUGAGUGUGAGAGAGGAAGGUGGAAUUCCCGGUGUAGUAGUGAAAUG